CAGUCGCCACGGUAAUACGUAGGGUGCAAGCGUUAAUCGGAAUUACUGGGCGUAAAGCGUGCGCAGGCGGUCCGCUAAGACAGAUGUGAAAUCCCCGGGCUUAACCUGGGAACUGCAUUUGUGACUGGCGAGCUAGAGUAUGGCAGAGGGGGGUAGAAUUCCACGUGUAGCAGUGAAAUGCGUAGAGAUGUGGAGGAAUACCGAUGGCGAAGGCAGCCCCCUGGGCCAAUACUGACGCUCAUGCACGAAAGCGUGGGGAGCGAACAGGAUUAGAUACCCCAGUAGUCCCUGUCUCUUAUAC
rnacentral:rRNA from 1 species